rnacentral:tRNA from 1 species
GCUGCCAUCGUCUAGUGGCCUAGGACGCCGCCUUCUCAAGGCGGAGACCGCGGGUUCGAAUCCCGCUGGCAGCA